ensembl:lncRNA
AAACACACUUGAGCCAUGCUAGCCGGAUAAGCCAAGAGUGCUUCCUAAGCUAGAAACGCUAAUCCUGACUUGGUAUGUUGUUAGUUCAUGCAGUCGGAAGGCUGGACACACGGACAAAUGGAGGCGACUCGCCCCGCUCGAUUAUUUCCAGCUCACAAGUAGCACCUCGGUGCUAGCUACCAUAACGUGUGAUCGGUCAAACAAGCAAAAAGAAAAGGGGGGCUCCACUGGCGCUGGAACUAAAAACAGCAGCAGCUAGGUUAGAUUAGGACGUAGUUAGGUUAGUAUCCGAGCGAGAUGACUUACUGGGAGAGACUGACACUCAUCGUCACUUUGUCUAAAAAGCAGCGAAGCACAGGGAACCGCUUGAAAGAGCAGCGAAUACCAGCGGACUCUCGAAGCGGCUUUCCUUCAUCAUAUUGGAAAAACAAGCAAUUAUUAGCCACGUUAGAUGUAUCGCGUAUUCUUUAUUAUGCUACACUUCGGAAAAGACAAUCAGCUGGUUCCAUAGUGUAGCGGUUAUCACGUCUGCUUUACACGCAGAAGGUCCUGGGUUCGAGCCCCAGUGGAACCAGGAAUACUUUUCUGCUUCGAAACUGAGUGGAAGCCUCUGCAGUAGGUAGAUCUUCUAUACGUCUGUCAUUCUGGCCUAAUGUGUCCACUUGUUGGCCGUGAUAUGACCGAGUUGAGUGUGCCCCAACAGGCCCAACAGAAAUAUGAUUCUGCAGUGUCUGGAUGAAUAAGUGAUGGGCAAGAGGAAGCUACACACCACUAGUGGAUGGUUUUGUGCCGUGGUCUAACAAGAAUCAUGUUUCUAAAUGUAAAUAACAGCAGAAAGCUGGGGAUCAACUUCAGAAGGAAGAUGAAGACUACAUGGCCUGUGUCUAUCCUGGGG